AUUGAACGCUGGCGGCAUGCUUUACACAUGCAAGUCGAACGGUAACAGGCCGCAAGGUGCUGACGAGUGGCGAACGGGUGAGUAAUGCAUCGGAACGUGCCCAGUCGUGGGGGAUAACGCAGCGAAAGCUGCGCUAAUACCGCAUACGAUCUGUGGAUGAAAGCGGGGGACCGUAAGGCCUCGCGCGAUUGGAGCGGCCGAUGUCAGAUUAGGUAGUUGGUGGGGUAAAGGCUCACCAAGCCGACGAUCUGUAGCUGGUCUGAGAGGACGACCAGCCACACUGGGGCUGAGACACUGACAGACUCCUACGGGAGGCAGCAGUGGGGAAUUUUGGACAAUGGGGGCCACCCUGAUCCAGCAAUGCCGCGUGCAGGAAGAAGGCCUUCGGGUUGUAAACUGCUUUUGUACGGAACGAAACGGCUCUGGUUAAUACCCGGGGCUAAUGACGGUACCGUAAGAAUAAGCACCGGCUAACUACGUGCCAGCCGCCGCGGUAAAAC
rnacentral:rRNA from 1 species